UCCCAGGUAUCUCAGUGGUAAAUAAUCUGCCUGCCAAGCAGGAGACGCAGGUUCAAUCCCUGGGUUGGGAA
rnacentral:tRNA from 1 species